rnacentral:rRNA from 1 species
GGGCCCGCACAAGCGGUGGAGCAUGUGGUUUAAUUCGAUGAUACGCGAGGAACCUUACCAGGGCUUAAAUGUAGUGGGACAGGUCUAGAGAUAGACCCUUCUUCGGACUCAUUACAAGGUGCUGCAUGGUUGUCGUCAGCUCGUGCCGUGAGGUGUCAGGUUAAGUCCUAUAACGAGCGCAACCCCUAUCGUUAGUUGCCAGCGAGUAAUGUCGGGAACUCUAACGAAACUGCCAGUGCAAACUGUGAGGAAGGUGGGGAUGACGUCAAAUCAUCACGGCCCUUACGUCCUGGCUACACACGUGCUACAAUGGCCGGUACAGAGAGCAGCCACUUCGCAAGAAGGAGCG